rnacentral:rRNA from 1 species
UACGAAGGGGGCUAGCGUUGCUCGGAAUUAUUGGGCGUAAAGCGCACGUAGGCGGCUUGGCAAGUCGGAUGUGAAAUCCCUCGGCUCAACCAAGGAAGUGCAUCCGAAACUGCUGAGCUUGAGUACUUAAGAGGAUCGCGGAAUUCCCGGUGUAGCGGUGAAAUGCGCAGAUAUCAGGAAGAACACCAAUGGCGAAAGCAGCUUUCUGGGACGGUACUGACGCUGAGACGCGAAAGCGUGGGGAGCGAACAGG